rnacentral:misc_RNA from 1 species
CAACCCUCAAGCCCCCGGGCUUGGUGUUGGGGAUCGGCACCGGACGGCGGCCCCCCGGGGCCCCCGCCCGCCGUCCCCCAAAUCCAGUGGCGGUCACGCCGCGGCCUCUUGCGCGUAGUAGCAACACCUCGCACCGGAGCCCGACGUGCCCACGCCGUAAAACCCCCGACUUUUAUUCA